rnacentral:rRNA from 1 species
UACGUAGGGGGCAAGCGUUGUCCGGAUUUAUUGGGCGUAAAGAGCGUGUAGGCGGCCAGGUAGGUCAGCUGUGAAAACUCGAGGCUCAACCUCGAGACGUCGGUUGAAACCACCUGGCUAGAGUCCGGAAGAGGAGAGUGGAAUUCCUGGUGUAGCGGUGAAAUGCGCAGAUAUCAGGAAGAACACCCGUGGCGAAGGCGACUCGCUGGACAAGUAUUGACGCUGAGGUGCGAAAGCGUGGGGAGCAAACAGG